rnacentral:rRNA from 1 species
AGAGUUUGAUCAUGGCUCAGGAUGAACGCUGGCGGCGUGCCUAAUACAUGCAAGUCGAACGAGGUGCUUUUGUAGCAAUACGAGAGUAUCCUAGUGGCGAACGGGUGAGUAACGCGUUGGUGACCUACCCCAAAGUGUGGGAUAACAGUCCGAAAGGAUUGCUAAUACCGCAUGUGGUCUUCGGAUUUAGAAACUGAUGACUAAAGGAGCAAUUCGCUUUGGGAGGGACCUGCGUCCCAUCAGCUAGUUGGUGAGGUAAUGGCUCACCAAGGCGACGACGGGUAGGGGACCUGAGAGGGUGGCCCCCCACAAUGGAACUGAAACACGGUCCAUACACCUACGGGUGGCAGCAGUAGGGAAUAUUGCUCAAUGGGCGAAAGCCUGAAGCAGCAACGCCGCGUGUGCGAUGAAGGCCUUCGGGUCGUAAAGCACUUUUCUGAGAGAUGAGAAAGGACAGUAUCUCAGGAAUAAGUCUCGGCUAACUACGUGCCAGCCGCCGCGGUAAUAC